AACGAACGCUGGCGGCAGGCCUAACACAUGCAAGUCGAGCGCGCCCUUCGGGGUUAGCGGCGGACGGGUGCGUAACGCGUGGGAACGUGCCCUUUUCUACGGAAUAGCCUCGGGAAACGGAGAGUAAUACCGUAUACGCCCUUUGGGGGAAAGAUUUAUCGGAAAAGGAUCGGCCCGCGUUGGAUUAGGUAGUUGGUGGGGUAAUGGCCUACCAAGCCGACGAUCCAUAGCUGGUUUGAGAGGAUGAUCAGCCACACUGGGACUGAGACACGGCCCAGACUCCUACGGGAGGCAGCAGUGGGGAAUCUUAGACAAUGGGGGCAAGCCUGAUCCAGCCAUGCCGCGUGAGUGAUGAAGGCCUUAGGGUUGUAAAGCUCUUUCAGCUGGGAAGAUAAUGACGGUACCAGCAGAAGAAGCCCCGGCUAACUCCGUG
rnacentral:rRNA from 1 species